GCGGGGGCGGCGGGGUCCCCCCGAGGGCGCGGCGGUGACGGCGCGGCUCGUUCCCCCCCCUCUCCCCGGUGGUCGGCUCCCCGCGCGGGGUGAGGGGCGGGCAGGUGGGCGAUGAAUGGGUUCAGCACCGAGGAGGACAGCCGGGAUGGGCCGCCCGCCGCCCCCUUUUACGGCCAGAGCUGCUGCCUCAUCGACGACGGGGACCGCUGCGUGCGCCCCGCCGGCAACGCGUCCUUCAGCAAGAGGAUCCAGAAGAGCAUCUCGCAGAAGAAGCUGAAGCUGGACAUCGACAAAAGUGUGAGACAUCUGUAUAUUUGUGAUUUUCACAAGAACUUCAUUCAAAGUGUGCGAAACAAAAGGAAGAGGAAGACGAGCGAUGAUGGAGGUGACUCUCCUGAGCAUGACACGGAUGUUCCAGAGGUUGACUUGUUCCAGCUCCAAGUGAACACCCUGAGACGUUACAAGAGGCAUUAUAAGUUGCAGACUAGGCCUGGACUCAACAAGGCUCAGCUUGCAGAAACUGUCAGUCGUCACUUCAGGAAUAUUCCAGUGAAUGAGAAGGAGACACUCGCAUAUUUCAUCUACAUGGUGAAGAACAACAAGAGCAGGCUGGACCAGAAAUCAGAAGGCAGCAAGCAACUAGAUUGAAGGUUAACAAGACUUGGAAUAAGAGAGACCUUAAAGGAACAUAUGGGCUGAAAACUGCCAACAAAGAGCAGAGAAUGGCACUGCUGACUGGGAAUGCCAAGCCUGGAGCAGAAAACUCAGCUGAUGAGAUAUUUUGUGACAAACCCAUGUGGGUUGUACAGGGAUAACUGCACAGUUCCAUGAGCACUCAGUCUCUGCCAGGAGCUGGAGUCAAUUUCCCACCUCUUACCCUUGCAAGCAGAGUUUUCUUCUGAAGCACUACAUGAUCACAGCACCCUCAGCAGGGAACGCUAUGGUGCUGUGGGGAAGAGGGAAGUGUCAGGCAGCUGAGAUGGCUCUGCUGCUUUUCCUACCACAGCUUUCAGCCACGGGUGACGCCAUAAAUUCCCCUACUCUGGUUACUGUAAAGUCUUUCAGGGUGGUCAGGACCUGAAUUCCUCACACAAAAGAAGAAGCAGGGGAAGAGGAAACUGCAAGCAAGGACCUUCCCCACCCCAGGGAUCUGUCACAAGGACUCAGCAAGGCUCCAAGCGUGGUUUCUUGCUCUGCAGUCUCUCAGCUCAAGCCUCCUGGGUAACUGUCCCUCACUCCUCUCUCACCAGUGAACACCCUCCUCCCAACCUGUGCUUCCCACUCAUGCUCCAGCAGCUCCAUCUGGCUCCUUGGCCCAUCUGAUCUGCAGAUUUGUUAUUGCACUUCAGCUCUGGAGUAACCAGGAGAGGCAGAGCUCGUCCAGCAUCACAGAGCUGUGGGAAUGGCACCGAGUCCUGCCCUGAGCUGUAUGGCACUGGUGCUCCACCAGCUCCCAGCCAGCUUCCAUCCUGGAUCUCCAAUCCAGCUGCUGUGUGAGACACAAGUGGGCUUCUGUGCCACCCCACACCGCCCAGCUUCACCUGAGGGCUGUGCUGAGAUGUCAUGAGAGAAGAUUAGUGAAAAAUCAGCAGCCAAGUGCCAGCACUGCCAGAGAAGGUCCUCACUAAGGCAAUUGUCCACAGAGCAGGAUGAGGACAGGUCAUUCUGCAGAAAACCAUGGUGACCAUGGCUAACCCCACCCCAAGCACGUGAGUCUUGUGAAAGGAGUAAACACACACUUCUCACAACCCUCUGCACUGGGGGAAGGGCCUUCUUGGAAUAAAGGAGCAAUGCAGGUUGGCUUUGGAGAGGUAGGGACAUG